GCAUGGACGAAUUCUGUUUUACUCUUAUAAUAGUAAAUGCAGUCAGACACCAUGCUAAAUAAAAAAUGUUCACAGACUGACUCAAAAGGAUAAUUGUUAAUUAUGCAUCUUAUUCUAAUGUCAGAGUGAAUACAGAA
ensembl:snoRNA